rfam:Daphnia pulex DAPPTscaffold_6_Cont418, whole genome shotgun sequence.
CAAACGGCCCUUUUCAGGGCCACCAAAAUUCUCAAGAAAUGAAAA